rnacentral:rRNA from 1 species
GACGAACGCUGGCGGCGUGCUUAAUGAAUGCGAGUCGAGCGAGAACCAGGGGAGUGCUUGCACAAACCUGGGGACAGCGGCAAACGGGUGAGUAACACGUGGGUAACCUGCCCUGAAGUCGGGCACAACAGUUGGAAACGGCUGCUAAUUCCCGAUAGUCUGUAGCGGCACAGGCUGCUAUAGUAAAGGUUAAUUCCGCUUCAGGAUGGGCCCGCGGGCCAUUAGCUUGUUGGUGGGGUAACGGCCUACCAAGGCGACGAUGGCUAGCCGGUCUGAGAGGAUGGUCGGCCACACUGGGACUGAGACAUGGUCCAGACUCCUACGGGAGGCAGCAGUAGGGAAUUUUCGGCAAUGGGGGAAACCCUGACCGAGCAAUGCCGCGUGAAUGAAGAAGGUCUUCGGACUGUAAAAUUCUGUUAUUUGUGGAAGAAAGGUAGUUGGAGGAAAUGCCAAUUACUUGACGGUACCAAAUGAGAAAGCCCCGGCUAACUAUGUGCCAGCAGCCGCGGU